rnacentral:rRNA from 1 species
UCCAAUAGUGUAUAUUAAAGUUGCUGUGAUUAAAACGCUCGUAGUUGAAUUAAAAUGUGAUUUUAUACAUUUUGAAGACUUUGCAUAAGUAAAGUUUCUAGAAAUGUUAAAUUAAAAUCAAAGAAGGAAACAAUUCAAGUAAUUGAGUUGUUAUUACUUUGAAUAAAAUAAGGUGUUUAAAGCAAAACAUUAUGUUAAUGAAUAUUCAAGCAUGGGACAAUGCUGAGGGGAUGUCAAUAAGACAUUUCGAGAGAAGGAUUAAAAGGAACAAUUGGGGUGAUUCAGAAAAUAACGGGAGAGGUGAAAAUCCAUGAUCGCUAUAAGAUGCACGAGAGCGAAAGCAUUUCACUCAACUGUGUCCAUUAAUCAAGAACGAAAGUUAGGGGAUCGAAGACGAUCAGAUACCGUCGUAGUCCUAACUAUAAACGAUGUCAACCAAGGAUUGGAU